rnacentral:rRNA from 1 species
GCCUCUGACUAAAGCACCCUGAAUGCACCCGAUCUCAUCAGCUCUUCGAAGCUAAGCAGAGUUUGAGCACCGGAUAGUGCUUGGAUGGGCCAUCAACACGCAUGACACAGGUGCUGUAGGAU